CCAGUUUGUUUGGGUGAAGUCCGUCAUGGGAGAAAAAUGGGGAUCGGUUCCAGAACAGAUUAAAAUUGUCAAUGAAGUGGGUGGAGGAGGUACUGCAGAGUGAUCAAAGCCAGGAUUUCUGGCUGAGGAGGCGGCUAAAACGAUCAAUGCUAUGUGUUAAGCAUUGGAGAAGACCGGGGAGUUUUGUCGUGAUGUCGGCGACAGUUGCACCGGGGAAAGAACGAGUGAUGGCAUUGAAAAAAAAUCUUUGUUAGAACUGCUAGAGGUGCCCCCCACAACAGACUUUCCUACCAACAUAUCAGUUAAUAAUGAUGUCUAGACUUCCUAAUUUCCCAGCAAGAUACAACAUCCUGCAGGAUACUCCAGGUGUGAAACAUCCCCACCACCACCCCAGGGGGGUGGAGUGACGGUCCCCACAGAAAACAAAAGAUGACAACAUCAAAGCCCCAUUCCUUGCCCUCUGAGGGGCGGUCCUCAAGCUUAAAUGUUCAGGUUUCCCCAUGUUCUGGGUCUUUCUUGAUUCUGACCACUCAGAAGCAGAUUGACCUUUUCUUUGCAAAGAAAAUAAAACCUUGUCGGCCGGCAGAAGUCUCUAUUUCAUUCUUCACUAGCAGCAACGGGAAGAAAAACUUCCAUGACAGGAACGUAUGCAGCAAUAACUCAAAUACCUAAUAAUUAUCGUCAAAAUGUCUUCUAAUAAGUUACUCUUUACACAAUAGUCAUGUUUAUUGUGUUGCAAAUUAUAUACAUGAAACUAUGAUCUUUUUUUGUACAAAUCUGAUCUUGCUUCCAAACUUUUGGCCUGUAGUGUAGAUAUAUAUUUUUAUUUGCAUGGUUGAAAUGACUGAAAGAGAGUAAAUCAAGGUUCGAACCUUACUGGUAUCUCAGUCAGAUAUAUAUAUAUGUUUUUUUUUUUUGAAGGGACAUGAAACUUAACUUCUUAAUCCUCCAUAGAAGGGCAUGACAGAAAAAAGUUGGAGACCAACAUGUUAAUGUGUCAAUUAGAUGUUAAUAUUUUAAUCAUGCUGCAGCCAUAAUUUGAACUGUUCUCUCUAAAUAGGCAAAAGCUUCUGCCUUUUGAAUCUGCUGCACAGACUUUACAGCAGUGAACCCCAAGGAGUGCACCUGAAAUGUUUUCUCUGUUCUAGUUCAGAUCUCCUCAAUCUGAAGUCAAAUAGCUUCUAACCUUCUGAAGACUAAAGGCUCAUUUUACAUAGCUCCAUUACUGUGGUGAAAUUUGUAUUAUUCAUUCAAAAACAGCUGUUGGCUAAUAGAUCUGAUACAUCUGAAAUUACCCAAUACAGGCAUACAAAGAUCAUUUAGUUGCCAGUUACAGCUGAUUGUUCACAGCCUCUUUACUUUGGUUGAAGCUUCUUGUCAGCUCAUGUAAUUUGAGAUUUUUGCAAAACAAGCAUAAAACCAAUUUCACUAGUGUUGGGAUGCUGUGUAAAAUGUUGAUGAAAACAGAAUUUAAUAGUUUAUAGAUCUUUGCAAGCCUGUACUUGAUGACAACAUAUCAAAAGUCAGAGGUCAAAAGUUCUGGCACAAUUUCACCAACUUCCAAGGUGCUUAGAGAGAAAAGAUCUUGAAAAGAUCAAAAGAGCUCCAGCAACACUUGUAGUUGAGGAAUCAAUUUUAUUAGACCAACACAUUUCGACUUGUGGCCUCAUCAGGGUCAUUCUCAUUUCAAAUAAAAUGUCUGAAACUUGUUUCAGAAACACUGGCACAGGGACAUUUUUACCUUUUAGUGGCAUUGGUUCUUCUUUCAACUACACUUUUCAUGUUAGAAAACCAAAGACACCUGUUUCUGGAGUUUUGAAAGUGGAAUAUUGUCCCAUUCUUCCUGAUACAGCUGCUACAAAUGUUGAAAGUGGGUGAGUCAGGAUAAAUGGCAGACAGGUCAAGCACCUGGACUGGUCCAACCAUACUGUUUAUGCAGAAUGUAGUUUGGCAUUAACUUACUGUAUCAUUCAGGUUGUCUCUGAAAAUGUGAGGACUGGUCCCCAGUCCUCCAGUUUUGCUCCUCUUUGCCCUCCCUUCUCGGGCUGUCUUUCCCCCUUUAUCCACUUCGCCUGAGCGGCGCUGUAGGCUGCUCAGGAUCCCUCUCUUUACUUCCUGCAUGGGUGGCACCGCGGGAGCUGAUCACCUGCUGGAGACCUCACCUGCUGCUAAUUCCGGUCUGAUUACCUGCCUACAAGAGCCCAGGGAGGAAUCUUCUCAGUGCCGGCUGAUUGCCUGACUAAGUGGUUCGGUCACUACGUUUGUGCUGGCCUUAAGCCUCUUCUCCCCUCACGGAGAUUAUCUUGUGCUUCACUUCUUGAUGAUUGUGGUGGAUUCAUGCCCGUUUUACCCCUGGACUAACUCCUUCUCUCUUUCUCGUUUUCUCCAGGUCUCCACGAGCUCCCGCCACCACCACCAUCAUUGCCUUGUUCACUUUUGACUCACAUGUAAAUAAAAAUCACUGUUUGUCGAAAUCCUGAUCUGAUUCAGCCUCUGCUCUGGGUCCACCUAUGCACAACACCUAACAGAAAAUGGCAUUAUCUAUGUGCUGAUUUCCACCGCGAAGUCAUGUCUUUCUGCCUUUGAAUGAUAUUAUGUUCUGUAGGUGAUGAAAUCUUGAAGGUCUUUGUAAAUCUUUGCUUGGUGAUCUACUUUCCCAGCUUUACAUCAGUAAUUGUGAGUAUUAAGUUAGUAGAUGUUUCUCCAGCUGUUAUUUUUAUAAGUGUUAGAUAUUUUUUUUUAGUGCUUUGUUCUUUUUCAACAUCAGAUAUGCUGUUUGCACUCUUCUCAAUUAAAUUUGGGGUUUAAAUUACUCAAAAAGCCAUCAAAAUCUUUUUAAUCAACAUGUGCUGACUCUUCCAGAAUUGAGCUUGUGUACCUUCAGGAGAACAAGACAUCUACUUCUUUUAUAAAGUAUAAAUUUCCACACGCCUUUAAAAAUAAUCCCUAUUUUAGUAUAAACAUGUAAAAUACAGAAUUUCCUUUUGUGUUUUUCAUUAAGUUGUCAAAUUCCAAGAGUAAGUCUUGAUCUGUUGUUGUAGACUGUGAUCUUAGAAGUUAAGGCAGUCCUGAAACAUCAGUGUGGAACCUCCAGCAGAUUGUGGCUCAGCAGCACAUCCAGUUUUCCUGCUCAUUAUGUUCUUUCAAACAGAAGUGAAACUGUUUUUCUAUCACUUGACCCUCUUUUAAUAAGUGUAAAAACAGAAACACCAGCCUUGGGUUUGACUCUUCCUUUGUUACCGCUCAGGUUUAUUACUUUGAAGAGCCUCUGACAUUGAUAAGCUAGGAUUCUCAGAUGCUUAAAACAAUUAUUUGUAUUCAUAGUUUUUAAAGCAUCCAUCUUUUAGUUACACGGUGCAAAUAAGAGAGAAGACCACAGUUAAAUGGUCUAAUAAAGCUCUUUGAAAAAUGAGAGUGAAUUAUAAAUCUAAAUGUGAAAACUCUCCUCAGGGUUCUAACUAGUGAGGUAAACAAUUGUUGUGUGUAUUUGACUCUCUCUCUCUCUCUAUCUAUCUAUAUAUAUAUAUAUGUGUGUGUGUGUGUGUGUGUGUGUGUGUGUGUGUGUGUGUGUAUCUAUAUAUAUAUAUAUAUAUAUAUAUAUAUAUAUAUAUAUAUAUUUAUUUAUUUAUUUUUAUUUCUUUCUCAGCCUGAGGGCUGUCUAGUUCUCCAAGACAGGUGUUUACAAAAGUACAAUUAAAAGACAUGUACUGCAGCUAUCAAAGAAUCUGUUACUCCUCCAUGCAUAAAUCAGUGUUUGAGUGAUGGGAAUGUACUGAGGGUCGAGUUCAGGUUAGAGACAUUCAACAACAGUUACACUGGUCUACAUUAUUAUACUUUGUCUAAGAGUGUAAUCUGAGAAGAUCCUAUAAAGCCAAUGGUCAGAGCUCUAUAUUGACAGAUUUGAAUCAUAGUGGGAUAAACUGUCUAUCAUGAUUACCUUCCUUUUUUCAAAUGAUGCACUCAAUUAUGAAUAUUAUCAUUAAAGCUUGUUGUGGCUGGUGGAAUAAUUACUGUGAAUUGCCAUAUAUGUUAAAUUUAUGAAAAAUAGUACAGCCUUUGUACAGUAUGGUUUUCAUAGCUCAACAGAGAUGCCCACUUUCGGGGUCUUUGCAUCAUUACAGCUUCAAUAUUUCAUAUUUAAGUGUUAAAACAUUGGCAGCUCCUGUAAUUCUUCCUCACAGGCUUUCCAUUCAAUUUUUGUGCAUUUACAUCCUGAUCGCCUGUACUCUGCUUUUGGGCCAUGUGACAUGGUAAACUGGCACAGCUGAGAAGCUGUAUGUCGCAACACAAGUUGGCUGUGUCUUUGGCACUGUUUAAUGUUUUAACAAGCACUCACAAUUGGAAGCACUCUUUCUUGGCACUCUUUGAGGAACACACUAGUGAAGUAAACAGCCCAGAAAAGAACAACAAGCUGAGCAGCAUGCUUUUUGAAGUUUGGAGUGUAUUUGGUCGAUGCUUGGGGAACAACAUCUUGCUGCUGCUGCUGCAGGGACAUGAACUGUGAAAGGCCGCCUGGCUGUACUGUCUACUGCUGCCUGUCUACUUUCUUUCUCCCUGACAGGGCAUGUGGACUUUAUUCAGUUAGCAAACCUGACUAUUGUAGAUCUGCUCAUUGAGGAUGCAAUGAGAACAUUUAGGAGAAUAACCCCUAAAUAAGAAAUUCUGGGCAUUUUCAUGAAUCCAGAUUUGUCAGUGUUUCUUUUUUAUCUUUUAAGUCUGUGUUCUGCACUUUUUUGAUCAAAUAAAGACUAAAUGAUUUGCAAAACACCCGUUUCACUCUGAGUACCAACUUGAGGUUGGGGUUGUAGAUUUUGAUUUGUGUGACUUUUGGAUAGAUGGAUCUCUGUAUGAUCCCCUGCAGUAUAUAGUGGUGCAACUAAUACAUCGGUGUAAAAUGCAGAGAGAGUUAUUGGUUUAACACCCAAAAGAUGGCAAAUGAAGAAACAACUGCUUGCUGUGCAAAGCAUGCUUUGUAAACAGUAAAGCAGCCCACUUUUAAAUGCUUUUCCUUUGCACAAGGUUGUAAUCUAUUUAAAAGAAAAUGGUGGUGCACUGUUGAAAUGAAUUGAAAAGGCAACAAGUGGCCAGUAGAGGUGGAUGGCAUGGGCAGUGGGUCUGUCCCUACCUCACAAAUAUCAACGCAACCACAGUCUGAGGUCAACUACCAUGUGGGUACCUGGUGGAAUGGCAAAAAAAAAAAAAAUGGCACUAGAAAGAUCAGCCCUUUUGUUAGUGAGAUAUUUACAGAACAAGACAUGGACAUUUUUAAGAACAAACACUAGACUUGAAUUGAUGUCGAGUGAGGUGAAAAAAAAAGCAAGUAUGGGGCACUCACAGCAUUAAAUAACAAACUCAAUCUUUACUGCUUAGGAAAGCGGAAAUGUUGGUGGGCAACCUAGCAACAGUAAACACCAAUGAGAAGGGCUGUGAAAUUAUGGUUGUGGGUGUUGCCAGAAAAAGUGUCACACUGAUGUCAUUUUCAGCUCCAACAUCUGACUUCUGAGGCAACUAAAAUUUUAAAGCCUAUCUAGUACUUUCUAAAAUACAUUUUAACUAUUUAUAGUAGUUUAAGAAACCAGAGAAACAGAGAGGGCUUCACAUCUGCAUCAAAUUUAAUAAAUGCAAUGGGAAUCUUUCUGUAAGAUUAGAGUAUAAGGGUCAUUCCAUGUCAAUUCAACCAAGAAUCUCUACUCACGUCACAGAUUUUGAUGAAAUUUGGUGGAGUGAUUGGCCUUCAGGAGAAACUGUCAGAGCUCAAAUAUUUUUGUUCAAAGCCAUCUAAUUAGUGAGAUAGGGGCUAAGGAAUUUUUGGCUAACUAGCAUGACAUGCGUUGCAAAAGUGUUCAUAUCUCUGGAAGUAUGGCACCUAUGUAUGUUCUAUCUUUUUGUUCAUACGAUUUUUUCCCAAAUUGAACCACAAAAAAAUUAUAAAGGAACAAAAACUCAAAUUGGAAAUAGCAAAAAACGCGCGUAUUUCAAUUUUCUUCAUAUUCACACUUAAAAUAAUGGCCUUAGUCAUUUUUUUGAGGAAAAUGAGUUUUUGGCUUGAAUCAUCUCUUGAUAAUGGUGGCCAUCUAUAGUAAAAUCGACUAAAUCCUUAGUUAAAAGGAUCAUGACAUGAUCCUAAUAGGGCAGUAGCGACUCCGGCAGAAAAAAGGAAGCUGAAGGAGCCGUCACAUAACUCAACCCCACUAUUAUAUAUCAAAACACAUCAGGACAUCCUCUUCUUUCAAAUGAGACCAGUCUUACCUCACUACAACCCCUCCACUUUCAAAAAGGCAGCUGGUAAAAUUUCUACAGGAAAAGAAAAAGAAAAAAAGUAAUCAAUUUUUGUCAUUUUCAGCAGCGAAAUCGGCUCACACAUCAAAUAUUUUCCUCUGAUUGAACCACAAAAAUUUCAGUCUGGCCAACCAUAGCCCAAGCCCAAUGUUUGUACAUGCCCAUCUAUACAGCGAUGGAAUGAACCAAAUAUAAGUUUGAUUGUAUUCUGUUCAUUAUGCCAAUGUAAGACUCUCAGGCAAGGGGCGAGGGGUGAUGCAGGAAAGCUCCACCAAUUGGCUGAGAUACAAGCCUGUAGCACUGCAGCUCAAAGCCAAGUAGCUAAGACGAUGCUGAUUGCUAAAGCACGGGACCAUACCGGCAAUCUAUAGGACGCUGGGCGCAGCAAGUUAACCUGCAGGAAACCCAGCGAUAUCGGAGCGCAGCAAGAAACAACAAUAAGGAGAGAGAGAAUAAAUUAGCAGCCAUGAUAACGGUAAUCCAAGAGCCGUUCUUAUUGACUUCCAUCCUUUUAACGAAUGGGGAAAGGGGCAAGUGACAUAUGCUGUAAAGCAGUCAGUGCAUUGUUAGUUUUUUGUGUAGACCGGUUCCUCCUUAUGCAAAAGCAAUCUUCAUAAAAUUCUCAAGGUUAAAACAUUGAAACAUGUUCACGUGCCUUUAGGAAACAGAGGAAACUGAUUUAUUAUGAACUCAUAAAGAUCCCGCUGUGCACUGAAAAUGUGAUUCACAGUUAGUGCUAGACAUCAGAUAUAUUUGCUCCCCUUUGUACCUGAGCUCCAUGCAGAGAAACAUUGAAACAUUAUGACUAAGAGACACUAAAGCACCAUCGUGGAGAUUAUUACUGUCAUCAUGUCUAUGCUAAUGCACUCUUCUAUGUGGUGUUAGGCCAUGGUCUGCUACACACCCUGCAUAGGACAAGAGCCAUUCAUAAUUGAUACCCAGCGUUUAUUGCAAGCCCAGGUGUGUUGCUGGAAAUAACCACUGACCCAAUUACAGUUUGCAUCCAGCAUGCUUUGCUUAAUUUGUGCAAAAGCCAUAAUUGCUCUUGGUUUUAUAAUUCAUGAACAAGGGUGUGCAGCACUGGCAGAGCACCAGCAUCUAUUAGUCAACCACCCAUGAGUGCAUCCUCACACUGGCUGCUUUACAUGGACAAAUAGUAAACGUGUCUUUCUGCGCACACCCACACAGAGCCUGAUAGCAUAACAAGGCUAAAUGGUUGCAGAUGUUAAUGUUGUGGAUGAGAAGAUCAUGAACUUCAACUCUGGUGAGCUGGCACUUAGAGAUAUAAAUGUGUCCUGACUGUUUCUUUUUCCUACAGGUGCUGCAGAUGGAUCAACAUGUCCACUAUCAGCAGUAACAACCUUUAGAGAGGAACAGAGCUCAC